UGGAGUCUCGCUCUUCGCCCAGGCUGGAGUGCAGUGGUGCAAUCUUGGCUGACUGCAACCUCCGCCUCCCGGGUUCAAGUGAUUCACCUGCCUCAGCCUCCAGAGUAGCUGCAACUACAGGUGCCUGCCACCACGCCUGGCUAAUUUUUAUAUUUUUAGUAGAGACAGGGUUUCACCAUGUUGGCCAGGCUGGUCUCCAACUCCUGACCUCAGUGAUCCACCUUCUUUGGCCUCCCAAAGUGCUGGGAUUACAGGCGUGAGCCACCGUGCCAAGCCUGGGGGUGGGGUUUAGAAGGAACACUGGCCACUCUUUCAAGGACUUUCACUGCCAAAGAGAACAGAAAAACGGGAAUGUGGCUGGCAGCGUAACUGGGCCGGGAGAAUAUUUGGUUUAGUUGGGGUUUGGUUUCCAGCGGGACAGCAGAGCAGGAUUGUUUGCUGGUGGGAAUGUGCAACAACAGAGAAUGACAGAUGAGGUGGUUUUGUGGCUCCCAAGCACGAUGGUCUGGUGUUCACGAGGGUGUGUAAGAUGCACCUCCCUCAAACCUUGUUACAAGGUUGGCAUGUUACCCGUCUGAUGUGAAAAAAAAAAGAAAAAUAGACGAGACUGAGGAGGGAGUUGUUUGAUGAAUAAAUGGAUCACACCACACUUCUGCAACUUUUGUUCACUUAACCACAUAUCUCAGCAACAUCUCCAUGGGUAGUAUUGCUCCGAGCAGUUCUGCUUGAUUCUGCUUGCAUAAAUCUAUCCUGUUGAUCAGGGUCAGUAAAUAGAAAGAUAAUGCAAGCCAGGCAGGUAAGGUGGCUCAUGCCUGUAAUCCCAGUGCUGUGAAAGGCCAGGGCAGGAGGAUUGCUUGAGGCUAGGAAUUUGAGACCAGCCUGGGCAAAAUAGUGAGAUCCCGUCUCUACCCUCCUCCCCCGACCAAAAAAAGCCAGGUGUGGUGUGAUGCUCCUGCAGUCCCAGCUACUUGGGAGGCUGAGGUGAGAGGAUCACUUCAGCCCAGGAGUUCAAGGAUGCAAUGAGUUAUAAUUGCACCACUGCACUCCAGCCUGGGCAACAGAGUGAGACUAUAUCUCAAGAAAGAAAGAGAAAGAGUAGAGAAAGAAAGAAAUAUAAUGCAAGAAACAAAUGUGAGCUCUAUGUCAUUUAAAUGGUGUUUUAAUGUUUUAUUUAACUCAGUAUAUCCAAAAUAUCAUCACUUCAAGUGGUCAAUAUAGAAUGGUUGGGCUACUUUACAUACUUCUCUUCAUACCUAGUCUUCGAAAUCCAGGGUGCAUUUCAUCCUUACAGUGCACCUCAGUUCAAACAAGCCACGUUUUAAGUCAGUGGCCACAUGUGACUCGAGGCUCUAUUGUGGUCAGCACAGCCCAAAAAAAACUCACAUAGC
rnacentral:lncRNA from 1 species